AUAUAGUAUUAAAUUCGGUGUCCAUUUAAAUUGGCCAGGUGUUCUAGAAUGGUAUUGUAGAUUGUCUUUUGAAAUGUUUUGUUUUCUUUUAGUUUAUUUGUGUCUAUGUAUGAGUUAGUUGCUUUUAUUUUGAGAUAGUAUGGACAUUAGAGAUUGAAAUAUUUAUUUGAAAGCUUGUAAAUGUCUUAGGAAUUGUCUUCUAUCAGCUAACAAAGUCUAAUUUGAAGGGAUAUUCUUCACAUUAACUUUCCUGAAGGUCCUUUUGGUACAAAGGAAGCGCCUCUUGUUGUCAAAUCCUACUAUGAUAGAAGAAUUGUAGGAUACCUAGAGAUGAAGGGGAAGAUGAGCAUGAUGUUGUUUGGUUCUGGCUCGAGAAGGGCAAGCCACAUGAAUGCCCAAUAUGCUCAUAGUAUUUUGUGAUAUGUAUCCUGUGCUAUUGGGUGCCCAGUCGAAGGAGUGAUUUCACCUUCAAAAGUGGCAUAUGUAGCAAAGGAACUUCAUGACAUGGGAUGUUUCGAAAUUUUCCUUGGAGACACAAUAGGAAUCGCUACUCCAGGAACUGUUGUUCCUAUGCUUGAAGCUGUGGACUAUGGUAUUUGUUGAAAAGCUUGAUGUGCAUUUUCAUGAUACCUCUGGACAAUCUCUUUCAAAUAUUUUGAUUUCCCUCCAAGUGAUCAAAUUUGAAUAAUGGCCCCAGGUCAACUCAAUAUAUUGGAGCGAACGAUAGUGUUUUUGAACUACUAUUAUUUAUGCUUGAAUACAUUGUGAAAUUUAUUGCUAGUACAACUCUUUAAAAUAUUCCUUUCUAAGUAUGUAGUACAAGACAUGUUUUUCGAAGUUUAUUGUAAAUCAAUAUAUUGAACUAUUUAUUAGCUAAUUUGAUGUUUGAGAU